rnacentral:rRNA from 1 species
UACGUAGGGUGCGAGCGUUGUCCGGAAUUAUUGGGCGUAAAGAGCUCGUAGGCGGUCUGUCGCGUCGAUCGUGAAAACUUGGGGCUUAACCCUGAGCUUGCGGUCGAUACGGGCAUGACUGGAGUUCGGCAGGGGAGACUGGAAUUCCUGGUGUAGCGGUGAAAUGCGCAGAUAUCAGGAGGAACACCGGUGGCGAAGGCGGGGUCUCUGGGCAGAAACUGACGCUGAGGAGCGAAAGCGUGGGGAGCGAACAGG